rnacentral:lncRNA from 1 species
ACAAUCUUCGAUCAGACAGUAAAAUAAAGGCGAAGGAAUAAAAUACUAUGAUCUAACGUAAGGUUAGAUCUAGUUAAAGUUACACAAUAGUUUCCGGUGUAGAAACUAUUGUGAGAAAAUUAAUUGAAUGCCUAAAAAAUUAAACUAACAAAGGAAAUAAAUUGCUGAAGAAAAAUAUGGAAUGCUGAAAAAAAUAUAAUGUUGUAAAAAUAAUGGCAACAGAAACAAGGUUGCUAAAAAAGAAAAAAAUGCUAAAAGCUAGAAAGCUGAAAACUAAAUUGCAGAGCGUAAAAAAAUGUAAAAGUAGGCCGUCCCCAAUUUUUCCCAUU